CCUUUCCCCGGUUUACAUGCAUGUCUGGCUUGGACUUCGAUAUCAAUCUACAAUGACACAAGGACCUCAAACUCCACCUCCUGACACACAUACUACAAAGCAGAUGUGUGAGCAAACAGGAGGACAAUUCAUUUUCAAGAUGAGAGGAAUUAUACUACUCUUGCUGUUUGGAACUGUUGUGGUAGCGAAACCAAAACCAGCUACAGUUGACAUAUCGGAUAAAAAAGGAGUUAUAUUCUUGAUGGAUAAUAUCCAUGGCUUUAACACAACAACCAACUCAUCAACGGUAACACUGCCAAGCAAAGAACUGGACCAUGCAGAGAAUGGUACUGUGAUUCCAGUUGAAAAUUCUGCUGGAUUUGCUCCAAAAACUGUUGACAAUGAGGACACACAGUGGAAUGGUGUAGUGCGGCCAAUUGAAAAUUCUUUUGGGUUUGCACCAAAACCUGCUGACAAAGAGGACACACAGGGGAAUACAGAAGAGUGAAAAUGACACAGCAGAGGGUUCAACUCAACAGAUCCAAACACAUAUGAAGUCCUAACUGAGUACAGCCAUCAGAAUGAGGAACCAGCAGGGGAUUUCUUCAUCCUGUUAUGCUUCUUCUCCUCAAUAAACAUUUCAUUUGAAACUAUUGUGUGAAAUUUCUGUCUCAUUUCCUAAUUUAGCUGAUGUGGACCAACUUCGAAGAGGUGAGUUCAGUUUUAAUAUUUCAUUCCCAAUUUGACC
ensembl:lncRNA